ensembl:lncRNA
CAGCAAAAUAGGAGCUGACCUUUACCAACCAUUUCCUAAGCAGCAGGCCAAGCGCCAUACAAACUGCCUUAUUGAAGACCCUGGCUCUACUGGAAAACGAAUUCUUUUAGUUGCAUUCACCUCUUGCAAAGUCCUUGGAGGAUGCAGGAAGCUGAACUUCAGGGGAGGCACCAAGAGCGACUACCUAGACCCUCUCUCUCAUAGUUCCAAGGCUGCCCUGCUGUCUCCAUGGUGGGAGUCACCAUCGCUAAGCCCCGUGCACACAGCCUGGAGAGAGAGGUCCGCAGACCCUGACCAAGGUUCUGGGUUGGGAGCCUGCCGACCUGGCGCCUUCUCGUCAUUCGACCCACAGCUCUCCCUCUGGACACUUUUCUAGCAGCCCGUGGGGCUCCGACAGGAACACAGUACCAGUCUUUCACCUGGAGGCCUGCUCUCCUCCACUUUCUUCGUGUGGUGGGGACUGCCUGGGCCCUGUUCCACUGCGGUUCCCGGGGAAAGGAGACUGAGCACCACCGCUCUGAAGAAGGAUACUGAGGGCUCUGCUGACAGCUCCUCUGCCCUCCCGAUCCGGCCACCUGCCUCCUCAGCAGUACCCCCGGUGGAAGAGAUAGGAAAGACAGAGAGAGCUCACUGCACACCCAGCUGCAGGCCUGAAGAAGCCCAGCGCUCCAGCAGCAGCCAACGCAAGAUCCUGGAAUACCAGGGUUAGGACCAGUGGUGUGUGGUAAGGACAAAACAAGAGGGAGCAGCAUAAGUUGGAAUGAUCUGAGGCCUCCCACUCGGGCUUCCAGUGGAAGUGAGAUCCCACAUGAUACCUUAAGCAGCGUUACCAGAGGCUGGAAGUUUCCAGUCCCUGCUUCUUGCAUCUGUCAGUGCCAGGAGACUGUCUGUAGAAGAGGCAGAACCAGGACAAGAUUCCCUGUCAUUAGAGUAAAACUAAGCUGUUAUCUGACAAUCCAAGAAACCAAAACUGACCACAUUAGCCAAAUUCCCAAACAGCCCUGUCUCAAUAGCCAUUAUGAUGCAGUUCCCUCUGCCUUAAUCUUCAUUCACAUAAGAAAGGUAACCUGAAGGAACUGAACGAAUCAGCUAUUUUCCCAUUAUUGCCUCUCUGUUCUCUGUAACUUUGAUAUGACUAGUGUAUUCUUUGCUUUGAUUCUGCUUCUUUCAGCCCUUCUCUUUCUAUAAAACCAACCUCUUGUGUUCAGCCCAUUGGAACACUUAUUCUGUCUUAUGAAAUGAAAUAUUGCCUGAUUUUAGAAUCAAAACUAAAAUCAAUUAAGAUCUUUAACCAAAUUUUUGUAAUUUUGCUCUUGGAUAGUGUCCAGUUGAAGACACUGAGCACCCAUGGUUUCUCCUGCCUAUGACAUCACAGACUUUCCUGUUCAGGGGAUGAUUUUCUCUGUGUCCAUGUACCAUCGGGUGCUCAGAGAGCUUGGCAAAUUCCAGUCCUUUAAAGCACUAUGUUUUUAUAAUGUGACACGAUGCCUCAAAAUUACAUUAAUAGCUCUGGUGCUGCAAUUAUAUUAGACUGAGAAUGACAGCCUGUCUCUCUGCCUAAUGAAAGCAAGUUGAUGAAGAAUUUCAUUCAUAAAACAUUGAAAUGGCUCCUCCAGUUUUCAUUGAACUAUCCAGAGAAACUUCCUCAAGACCAGAGUCAAGGCCCAAUCUGAGACCCUUCCUCCAUCUGCAUUUUCAGAAAUAUAUAUUCUUGCACAAGCAACAUACCACAUAAUCUCUCUGAUGCAGUAGCAUGUUUUCUGGAUGAAGAUCCAGGAACUUCAAUAAAGUGUCCAGUUGGAGUCAUGACCUUAGAAA